UACGGAGGGUGCAAGCGUUAAUCGGAAUCACUGGGCGUAAAGCGCACGUAGGCGGUCCUGCAAGUCAGGCGUGAAAUCCCUUGGCUCAACCGAGGAAUUGCGUUUGAAACUGCAGGACUGGAGUACUGGAGAGGGUGGCGGAAUUCCCGGUGUAGGAGUGAAAUCCGUAGAUAUCGGGAGGAACACCAGUGGCGAAGGCGGCCACCUGGACAGAUACUGACGCUGAGGUGCGAAAGCGUGGGGAGCAAACAGG
rnacentral:rRNA from 1 species